GCCACGCCCCCAGCGCCGCUUCCGGCCGCUCGAGCGGCGCGGCGGGAGCGGCGCCUCAGGGAGCGCCCGGGCUGAGCGGGAGCGGCGCCCGCGGGGCCCGGGCUGGAGGAGCCCGCGGCUCUGCGGGGCCCUGAGGGGGCUGCGGCAUCCCAGGGAGGCUGCAGGAGCCGCGGGCUGAGAACUGGAACUGCCGGGGCUGGAGGACCCGCGUCUGUUACUGCUUUGAACAUCCCAGACUGUGAUGGAUUGAUUGAGUGACCCAGCAUACAAGUAUUUCUCAACUUUGGAGAAGCAGGCACUGCAAAGGCCUUUCAGCAGAGAUGUGGGCUUAAAAUGGCAUUAGAUCGUUGUGCUGCUAAAUACAGGUUGAAGUGGA